GACGAACGCUGGCGGCGUGCUUAACACAUGCAAGUCGAACGGUAAGGCCCUUCGGGGUACACGAGUGGCGAACGGGUGAGUAACACGUGGGUGAUCUGCCCUGCACUUCGGGAUAAGCCUGGGAAACUGGGUCUAAUACCGGAUAGGACCACUGCCUGCAUGGGUGGUGGUGGAAAGCUUUUGCGGUGUGGGAUGGGCCCGCGGCCUAUCAGCUUGUUGGUGGGGUGAUGGCCUACCAAGGCGACGACGGGUAGCCGGCCUGAGUGGGUGACCGGCCACACUGGGACUGAGAGACGGCCCAGACUCCGACGGGAGGGAGCAGUGGGGAAUAUUGCACAAUGGGCGCAAGCCUGAUGCAGCGACGCCGCGUGAGGGAUGACGGCCUUCGGGUUGUAAACCUCUUUCAGCACCGACGAAGCGCAAGUGACGGUAGGUGCAGAAGAAGGACCGGCCAACUACGUGCCAGCCGCCGCGGUAA
rnacentral:rRNA from 1 species